CAAUCAGAGUUAAUUGAUAGCUCCUUUCGUCAGUAAUGGCGAUCGAUCACUCCUUUAAUUGCUGGAAAAUCUCACUCGAAUAUUUUAAAAUAUACGAUAGAGACAAUCAGCAGCUAAGUGACCAAACAAGAUAACUGCAUUUUCGCUGAUUAAUAGCGGUCAAGAAGUUGGAUUGGUCAAAAGUUCAACGACUAGCCAAAAGGCGUAGAGCCAAGCGGCUCGAAAUGGGGAGCAACCCAAUGGGUUGAAGAUAUAGUCUGAUCCAUAAGGUGACUUAUGG
rnacentral:ncRNA from 1 species